rnacentral:lncRNA from 1 species
UUUUUACUUUGGUAAAUGACUGGCCAACAGGGACCUGCUCUGUAGCACAGGGAACUCUACUCAAUAUUCUGUGAUAAUCUAUAUGGUAUAAGAAUUUGAAUCAGAUCAUAUGUAUAUAUAACUGAAUCACUUUGUUGUACAACAGAAGUUAUCACAAGGUAAAUCAACUAUAAUUCAAUACAACUUUUAAAAAUGAAAAAAAAGGAUUAAAUGAUGUAGUCAGACACAGAAAAUGCCUACACAGCUGGCCUCCCCUUUUCCUUCUCUCCCUCUCUGCCUUCUUCCUUCUUUGUUUCUCCCUUCUUUUUCCCUUCUAUACUGCCUUGGUUGUCUUUUCUGUAUGAGAAGCAAUUUCUUAUAACCAGGCCUUCUCUAGAAGGAGCUGAAGAACAUUUCGAGGUUGUGAUUCCACAUCUCUCAAUGAAGGGUGGACGUGCCAUAACUCUUAGUUCUGAUUUAAAUGGCAGAUACAAAAACAGGAGGGUUUCUAAGCAGGAUAUGGAUGUACCACACUUCAUUAUCCAAGUGCUGUACAUUUCAAAUAGAUUUGGAACCCUUCACUGUGAGUUGCUACCAGUAGCAUCUGCAAAGGACAGAAGCAUGACCGUGGGCAAAGAGCUCCACCGCCCAGCUGCAGUGUCCUUGCCAUGGGACAGGCCUUAGCAAAAUUUAAGAGAAUGGCAUUUUGGAUUCCUCUGGGAGAUAUUGGAAGUGUGUCUUGCAUAGCAUUUAAAUAGUAGCAAAUAGUAUUUACUAUCAUUGUAUGCUCUGCUGAUUAUUAAGCUAUUAUCUUGGAGCAUUCAGCCCACUCUUUCACCUUCAUCUUCAUAUACAUUCUUUAAAAUUCUUUUGUAAAUAAUUAGGUUAAGGAAUAUUGUGAUGACUUGAAAGUAAAAUUUUGACAAUGUAAUUUAUCUCUUGAAAACCUCUGAAGAUUCAUAUGUGAAUCAUUCUAAAUAUCCAAGCCUAAUGCAAACUAAAUUUUCACAUUGGGGACUGUUAGCUUCUACUCAAUAUGCAGCUUUGCAUAUAUGUAUAAAUUUUUAAAACUAGAACUUCAAAACCUGAUUAUAUUUCCAAAUCAAAAUCUCCAAUAUGAAAUUAUAUUGUAUGGCAUUUGCUAUGUACAAACUUUCAGUUUUAUAACAUUAUAUUUAAUCUCUAAUUCACGCAUAAAUUUAUUAUUUAUUUUUAUAAAGUGAGAAUUAUAAAAUCACUUUAUUAAUCGUUUUAUUCUUUUGUUGGUUUUAUUUGCAGGUUUUUUAGCUUCCUUAUAACUUCCUUUUAAAAAAAUUAUUCAAUGUAUUAUUUGUCCUAAAUCCCUUAAGUAUUUUAACCACAAAUCUUUUUAUGCUCUGAUGCUUUACAAAUAAAUUUUGCUUUAGAGAAAAGCUAUAAGAUAUGAAUUUAGGUUCAUUAUUUUUAGUCUUCAUGGUUGGCACAAUUAGGAAAAGAGUGACAAAGAAAACUCUUGUAUUCUAUGAAAUUAAAAAGCACUUUAUUUUGUUGAAUAAGCAAAUUAAAGUACUUUUAAUGGUACAUAAAAACAUACUUACUUUCCUGGAGGUAUUGCCAGAGUUAUGUUUAACCCUUUCUUCAAAAAGUCAUGUUUAUUAUUUUAUUAAAAGAAAGCAAUCACAUAAGGGCAAGAGCUCUUGCUCAGAACAUUUGUGUAUUUCAUACAUUCUGCUUGUGAAAUAUAGUAGGGGAAAUAUUUAUGAGCACCAUAAGAUAGGGUGCUGAAACUGCAAUCAUUUCUAAAUGAAAAUUAUGUGACAGUUCAUCAGUAUUUAAUGCUAACGUUGGAUAAUGCAAACGUGAAGAAUUUAGGAGCUAUUUAUCAUAACUCUGUGUGUGGUUAGUGCUCUGAUAUACUUUCCUGGGGUAGAAUGGUGUUUUUAAUGGCAACAUGAGCCACAGAUUCAGUUUGAGGUAUUAAAUAAAUGGGGAUGCCAAAAGAACAUUUGUUUUUGUUGUUUGGUGUGUGUGUUUGUGCGCAUGUGUGUUGCUGUUAUUGUAGUUUAUCACAUUCCUGUUAAAAGUAGCCUGCCCUACCUCACACUGGUUAGUUUUUAAUCCAUGCUCCCACAAGCCAUGGCUGGGUUCUUACACCAGAUGCAGGUGUCCCCUUGUGCUGUCAGCCAGGAAUGAUUAAUGAGGAUUUGCCCCUACUGAAAGCAGUCUUUGGAGCAUUGUUCAGGGCAUCUGUGGAACUGUCGGGGGAGACAAGGACACAAGUGAACAACCAAUUAUUUGGCCAUCACUGAGGCAGCAUGAAAAAGACAUCAAAUUGGACAGAAAAGCAAUGCUUUUGUUUGGGGAUCAAAUAUUAUUUUUUAGGUGUUCGUAGUAAUAUAAGAAUUUUAUCUAAUUUUAAGCAGUUUUGGUGAAAUCUAGACUUUUAACCAGAAGUAAUUUUUCUUUUCUCUUUAAAGCUAAUUAAAUUCUUUGAAAGUAGUGUAAAAGAAAUAAAACGUCAUCAAAUUGAUUCUUAAGUGGUUGCCUAUUGUAUAAAGAUAUAUCGUUUUGCUCGGCUAACACAGAAAACAAAGACUAAGUAUGUGGUGAGUGGGAGGUCCUCCACACAGAAUUCCUAAUUCUGGUCACAUUUGACAGAGACUGGGGUUUUUACAAGUGGUCAGAGCAGCAAAGACAUUGCACUGGAAUGCUGAAGCCGAAGAUGU